GGAAGAAAGAAGGAGCCUUUUGGUUUGUAUUAACCAGACCAGAGGGCUAUCGAAAUCAGGAGGGAUAGAGAAAAAGACAAAGAGAGAGAGAGAGAGAGAGAGGACCAAAACGAAGAUGGAGUUACAGAGGGCCUUCACUUCUUUCCUUCUUGGAUUCGAUGUUUCGACGAGAGGAUCUGAGGUUUGACAAAGGAUUUAGUAUAAAUGCUACUAAGUAGAUCUAUUACAUCUUGGAUCAGUCAGAUUCUCGCAUGCAUGGGAUUUGUACUUGUGGAGGGUUAUACUCUUGGUUUUUGGGCUCCUUGUUACUUGCGUGCUCUGAAGCGGUUGUGAUGGAGAAGCUUAAGGAAACAUUGAGGGCUUUGUUCAGUAGCAGAGGUUGUCUUGGAUGCUGUACUAAGCCCACACCGAUCAUCGCUGUGGACGAGCCAUCAAAGGGACUGAGAAUUCAAGGCCGUACUGUGAAUAAACCCAGCAUAUCAGAGGAUUUUUGGAGCACCAGCACAUGUGAGAUGGACAACAGUGCAGUUCAAUCUCAGAGAAGCAUCUCAUCAAUCAGCACUUUAAAUCAAGCCUUUGAUCCCCAUGGUGGAGUUGGCAGCACUAGCAACCCUCCUGAGUUCAUAAAUCAUGGUUUUCUUCUGUGGACUCAAACAAGGCAGCAAUGGGUUGGAAAGUCUGAGAACAAGACACAACAGUUUCGAGAACCCAGAUUGAGUUGGAAUGCGACCUAUGACAGUUUACUCGGGACAAACAAGCCAUUCCCCCAGCCUAUAUCACUCUCUGAAAUGGUAGAUUUUCUUGUAGACGUAUGGGAGCAGGAAGGGAUGUAUGAUUGAACAAGAAGAGGAGCCAUGGAGGACAUGCAAGAGCUUUCUAGAGAUGAGAACACCACUGUCACUAUUUGUUUUGCUGCAUUCAGUCGUUGGGAUUAAACGUCUGUAACUCUGGUUCUUGUGCCUGGACUUGGUGUUUCUUUGGCUGCUCGUAUCUUUAUUAUAUUUUUAAAAGAGAGUUGGAAUGGAUGAGGGUGCGUUUGCUGUGAGACAACGGAUCUGCUGCGAGCACUGCUUGUGGGUUAUGGAACACUGACUUGUUCACUCGUGAUUGGUUGCAAUUGCAUAACCUGUUUUACAUGUCGGCUCGUAGAACAUCCCAACUGGUGCUUGUAUUGGUCCCCCAACUGUUGUUUUCUUUGCUUUGGUUUUUCUUUUUCUUUUUCUUCGUUGUUGUUUCUACGUUUGACUCGCCAUUUUUAAAGCGAUCUUGUGUGAGAGUGUCGUAAACGCAAUUGCAAGAGACGUGCAGUGA